GACUGUAUGCCUUACAGCUGAAAGGGUUGGCUUUUAAAGCCGAAAACAACAGGAAUGUUGCAAACUUUCACCCAGUUUGAUAACUUCCUUAUAGUUA
rnacentral:tRNA from 1 species